CACGUAGGCGGCUUUCUAAGUCGGGGGUGAAAUCCUGGAGCUCAACUCCAGAACUGCCUUCGAUACUGGAAAGCUCGAGUCCGGGAGAGGUGAGUGGAACUGCGAGUGUAGAGGUGAAAUUCGUAGAUAUUCGCAAGAACACCAGCGGCGAAGGCGGCUCACUGGCCCGGUACUGACGCUGAGGUGCGAAAGCGUGGGAGCAAACA
rnacentral:rRNA from 1 species